CCCAGAUAGCUUAGGUCUGAGCAUACAUUAUUACUGAAUGGCACGCAGACCACACACAUACAGUUUGUGACAGAACCAUCUGUCUGCUUGUAUUUUAAUUGCAUUCGUCUGUUUGUCUCCCGUUCGUAUGAAUGGCUGGUUUCUAUAGCCCAGCCAUUCGAAUGACUCUUUUUCCCGAACAAACCUGCCAAACGGACGGCCACCCAGGAGAGAAGUGUGCUGCUGGUUAACCUAUUGAUCCCAAUUAGAACGUUGUGGUUAACCGCAGACACU